CCUACGGGAGGCAGCAGUGAGGAAUAUUGGUCAAUGGGCGCAAGCCUGAACCAGCCAAGUCGCGUGAGGGAUGACGGUCCUAUGGAUUGUAAACCUCUUUUGUCGGGGAGCAAGGCCCGCCACGUGUGGCCGGAAGGAGAGUACCCGAAGAAAAAGCAUCGGCAAACUCCGUGCCAGCGGCCGCGGUAAUACGGAGGAUGCGAGCGUUAUCCGGAUUGAUUGGGUUAAAAGGGUGCGUAGGCGGAAGGUUAAGUCAGCGGUAAAAUGUCGGUGCUAAACACCGGUCUGCCGUUGAAACUGGUCUUCUUGAGUGAGCGAGAAGUAUGCGGAAUGCGUGGUGUAGCGGUGAAAUGCAUAGAUAUCAGGAAGAACUCCGAUGGCGAAGGCAGCAUACCGGCGCUCAACUGACGCUGAGGCACGAAAGCGUGGGGAUCGAACAGGAUUAGAUACCCCAGUAGUC
rnacentral:rRNA from 1 species